rnacentral:rRNA from 1 species
CCUACGGGAGACAGCAGUGAGGAAUAUUGGUCAAUGGGAGGAAGCCUGAACCAGCCAAGUAGCGUGCAGGAUGACGGCCCUACGGGCUGUAAACUGCUUUUAUACGGGAAUAACGCGCCUUACGUGUAGGGCUUUGCAUGUACCGUAUGAAUAAGGACCGGCUAAUUCCGUGCCAGCAGCCGCGGUAAUACGGAAGGUCCGGGCGUUAUCCGGAUUUAUUGGGUUUAAAGGGAGCGUAGGCCGCAUGUCAAGCGUGCUGUGAAAUGUCCGGGCUCAACCGGGGCCUUGCAGCGCGAACUGGCGUGCUUGAGUCCGCGGAAAGCAGGCGGAAUUCGUCGUGUAGCGGUGAAAUGCUUAGAUAUGACGAAGAACCCCGAUUGCGAAGGCAGCUUGCUGCAGCGGAACUGACGCUGAUGCUCGAAAGCGCGGGGAUCGAACAGGAUUAGAUACCCUUGUAGUC